UUGAGUUUUUAAUGCCCAAAGGAUCAAUUUUAAAAAUUAAAGUAUUGGGACAUAGUAAGGAAAUUGAUCAAUAAAAAUGCAAAGAUAGGAUGAAGCCUUCACCAAAUAAAAUGCAUAAAAAAAGUAAGAUAUAAGUAUUAAAAAAAUAUUGCUCAUAACAUCCGUAACUUGCAAACAACAUAUUAAAAUAUAAACAUUCAAAUGUUGUCUCGUGAUGUAAUCACAACCCAUAAAUCUAUGGGGAUCCGACUAUUUUUUUUGGACGAAAAAUUCCAUGCUCCUCCUUCUUGACUCCAAAUCUUAACCCUCCCUUGAUACUGUGUAUCAACAAUGGUGCGCUGAGCUUGUAACAAAGGUUGUUUUACCAGGAUCAUCGACUGUGUCUGAUGGGUAAUCUAAUUUCAAGAAGACUGGUGAUAUUUGUGAAGGCGUUUGUGGAAAGAGUCGAUCAAAAGCUUGCAUGUAUGCCGAUUGGAGAAUGGAGGAGAAAAUGAGGUUGAGAGGAAGUUUGUGUUGGGCAAAGAUGGCCCCUACGUGGAAGCGGCAACAGGCCCUCUUAUUCUAUUGCAGGGGGUACCAACCCGUGAGCUUUCCGAAGGCAGAGUCAUAGGUACACCGCUUCCACAUUUUCUCUUUUCAGCUACUCAUUUUCUAGAUUGAUUGGUUCUAUGAAUUGGGACCCAUUUUAUUUCUAUACCUGGAUGAUUGAUUCGUCUAUUACACGUGCACGCAAAGUCCGACUUUUUAUUAGAGCAUUUCAGUACUAGCCAAAGUUGUUUAAUUAUUUCGAAUUUUAGAAGGGAAAUGUUGAUUGAACAUUAGAAUAAAAAAUCAAAAGAACCAGCUUUCGUGCUCAGAUGCACAUUUUAUGCAUCCUCACUACAUUUAUUGUCACAUCACUGUUGAGCCAUCUUAUCAACUAUCAUGUUUCACUUUAAUUGAGAAAAUGUCUCUUGAAACCAUUGUUCCGCAAUUCGUGAGGCAUCUUAGCAAAGGAUUUGCCAAUUAGAAGGGUCGUUAAUGGAUUGCAAUGUUGUACUUGGUUAUUUUCAUUUUCCUUGCUCUACUAAGGGCAUUAUUUUCCUCCUCUUUCUGUAAGCAUACUGCUCUUGUCUUUUUUUAUGAUCUGAACUGUGUGUUGUAUAAGAUGAGAGUUAGUUCUAUUUUGACUCGUGCAAGUGAGUACCCAAAUUAGUAAAGCAAAAGGAGUCAUUGCAUAACACUUCUUUCCUCCAAGGUAUCUGCCACACUUUAAUUAUUUGUCAUAUAUUUGGUAUAAAGUAAUUAGAAAGGUUUCAAAUGUUGGUUUAGCUAAUGUUUAUCAUAUUGGUUCCUGAGAACUCUUAUCUCUUAUUUAUACAUCGUGUUCGUUUAGUGAUAUAAUCAUUUGGUUUCAUGUUUAAGCUUUCAUAGUGACAGUUUUGCAAAGUUUUUUCAACAUUGAAUUCACCAGUUGCUACCUAAUUUUUCUUCUAUGAUGGAAAUUUCAUUUAUCCAACAACAAGUAGGAUAACCUGCUUCUGCAAAACUGGUGCAGAAUAAGGCAACAUAUUGCCAUCGGUUGUAAAACAUCGUAUAGGAUGAACAAUAAUGUAAAUAAGAACAGAAGGUUAAAUAGUAAGAGAAAGUAUUAAUGGAGCAUGGAUUCUCUGUUGUUGUUUUAUACUUUUGCAUCUAGUUUUUCUCUUGAUUAGUAUGAACUCUUGAGUUAGCCUUCAAGCGCACAUAACUAAAUUGGGAUUGCUGCUUUGUGGUAAUGACAUGUCAUUUGUGAUUUUGAGAUAGUGGCUAACUAAACACAGAUUAACCUUAACAUGACCAACUGAAUUAACAAUGUCAUCUCUCUGGCUCCAUUUAUUAUGGAUAAAAAAUGGAUGAGAAGGUUGUUGCUUGAACUUGACCACAAAUUUUGUUAAAGAGUUACUCGUUUCAGAUUUGUAAUAUUGUUCACUUCUUCACUUCAUUUCCCAGUUUGAGUUUGAAGGUAUAGUUUUGGCAGAGUACUUCAACAUGAUAUUUUGGCAACAGGUAUCUGAUUCAAUGGUAUGUUAUCUUCGAUUUUCCUUACCCAAUUACUUUUGACAGUUUGUAUCAUUGGUGGAUCCAUCAAUUAGUGUUGAUUUUUCGAUACGACGAGAUUGCUAAGUUUUUAUUUUACACUUGAUAAAACUUUUAGUUUUAUAAGUUCUUAGUAUAGUACUAACAUAUAUGUUUUUAUAUUGAUAAAACAUAAUAAACCAUUUUAAUUAAAAUAUAUAGAUUUACGGCUUAUAAUUGGCCCUUUAAAAUUUUACACCAAGAUCCAUGAAUAAUUUAACUUUAUUGAUUUAAACUAGUAUUAUUCCUUCUUUUGUUUCAGAAUUUUGAUGCACGUAGGGCUUGAUGGUGUUGAGAUGGGUCUCAUUGUACACCAUAAACCUCUUGGGAACAAUCAAAGUUAGUUCAAGCUAAUUUUUCAGGAAGUACAGCAGAGGCAAGUCAGUUCAUAGCUUCCUUGCUGAAAAUUUAAUUUAAAUGGGGUUAACUUACUCAUUUUCCUGAAAAAUACUGUCUUGAAAUUGUUUUCGUUGUUUUUAGUUCUUUCUUAUCACAUUGUACUGACUCAUAUUCACCUCUGGCAUUAUGUUAAUAGUUGUUCUAUUGGAAAUGUAAUAAUUUCUAUUGAAGAUUUUGGUUGAGUGCUGCAGGGUUUUUGAAGUUGUUUCCCUCUUAUUAAAAGGAAAAGAAAGGUUAGAAAUAUGCUUUGAAAGGUAUGCAAUUUGUUAUCCUUGCAAUUGAGAUUUUAAACUUUUCUGUGAUUUUUUGUUUUCUUUUGUUAAUGGUCCUACUGAUGAUAUUUUGUUCUUUUAGUUGGGGAUAUAUUGGAUCUGAUUAUUGCAUUAAACUGCUUGAAAAUUAAAUCUGUAAUUAUCUCUAUGUUUUGCCAAUGACUUGAGCUAGUAUUAGCUCAUAUGCAUCUAUGAUAUUGUUGACUUACCAAACAAGGGAGUUCAAAAGAAGCACCCUAAGUUACUAACUUUAUGUUUCAUAAGGUGGUCUAUCGUAGAUACUAACUUUACGUUUCAUACCAUGGCCAUCUUUUGUUUCAUGGAAUUUAUUUCUUUUCUCUAAAAAAAGCUUCCCAUGCUUUUCUUUUGUUCUAUGCCUUGAUUGAUAUAUGAAGAAUUCAUACUCGUGUCCUAUUUGUCUAAGAAUUAUUUAUUUAUUUGUAAUCUUGCUGUCUUGUUAUGUUUGGUAAGGAAGAUCUGCGAGUUGUUAACCGUGUAAUGUAGUUUGUUUGUUUUUCUUUAUAGUUUAUUAUUAUGCCUUACAUACUGCUAUAUCCAACAAAAGAAAAAAGAUUGUGCUUUUGAUUUUGAAAGAGGGUUAGGCAUGUAGAAAGGUAACAUGUGUUUCUUUCAAAAUAAUUUGACUACUAAGCUACUAAGUAAAUAGCUCAUGACCAUUUCUAUGUUUUAAUACAGUUCUUUGCUGCUAAUAUAACUUCCCUAUUUCUUGAUGUGUAGAAAUUGGUGCCUGUCACCUAGCACUUUAGUCAUAGCUGGACUCUUCCACCACCUGCUUAGGCUGAUAUUAUUAAGGCUAACUGAUUUAAGAUUGCAGCCUCCAAUUAUUUGAGUUAGUUGAUUUAAGACAACUCUUACAUAGCUUGAUGAUCUACGUUCACAGUUGAUAUUAUUAAGGUUAGCUGAUUUAAGAUCGCAACUCUUAAACAGCUCGAUGACCUAUGUUAACAACUGGUAUUAUUAAGGCUAGUUGAUUUAAGAUCGCUACCUCUGAUUAUUUGAGUUUGCUUAUUUAAGAUCGUAACUCCUAACAGCUCAUUGACCUACGUUCAUAAUUAAUAUUAUUAAGGCUAGCUGAUUUAAGAUCAUAGCCUUCAAUUAUUCGAGUUCGU
rnacentral:lncRNA from 1 species